GGGCGAGUGGCGGAACGGUAUACGCGACGGACUUAAAAUCCGUCGGUCGCAAGGCCUUGAGGGUUCAAAUCCCUCCUCGCCCA
rnacentral:tRNA from 2 species